AAACAAAGCACUGAACACAAAGCGAACUAUUAUUUCACCUUUUACUAAAGAAUACCGUGUUUUCUUUACAAUAUGUGGCAUACAUGACAUAAUGGGUAGCUCCCCAUUCUUUUUCUC